CAAACCCUUCCAUUUCCAUUUGAAGCAGUAGUAGCAGUUGCGCCUGUGAUUUGCAAAGUGUGAAUUCAUGGACCAUGUCACCGUGUGCGAAGUGCGAAAUCAGAAAGUGUGACUCCGAGUCUCCGAGGCCCGAGCAAGCAACCUGCAGUUUAGUGGUGAGUUAAAUUGUUUUUGUUAUCUGUUGUAUCGUUGAUUUUUUGAUUCGUGCAACUGCAAACCCAUCCAUUUCCAUGUUUUUGUUGUCUGUUUUAUGUGGAGUGUGAAAUCAGAAUCUCCUUUUGUUUUGGAGAUUUUUGUUGAUUUAGGGAUUUUGUUUUUGUUGGACUAGUUGGUUUAAGUUUUAUUUACAAUUUAAUUACUGAAAAAAUUUGGGGUUCAAGGAUUUGGAUAUUUUGUGGUUGCUUGAGUUAAAUUCUUUCUUUAAUAUAUUCCUUUGCUCUGUUUUGGUGUUCAAAUUUGCAGUAUGGCAUCUUGCUCUCCCAAGAACAUAAUCAUAUCCAAAUGUGUUUAAGAGCUUGAAUUGUUGAAUUGUUGUCUGUUGAGAGUUGAGUUGAGACUCUUGAGUGUUGUUUGAUGCAAUGAUGUUUACUGGAUAAGGGAAAUUAGGACUUAUUACUGAGAGUCUGAGAAUUAUAAUUUUUAAUCAAUUCUAAUUGGUUUUUCAAGGAUUGCCAUUUUGUGGUCACGAUAAAUUGAACGAGUCUCUUAAUAGAGGAAAUCUAAUCGAGUUACUAAACUAGUAUACAACUCAUACAUUUACAUAUAUUUGAAUAAUUUUUAAUAUUAUUUAAUCAAAUUUUAAUGACAACAAUAUUAUUACAAUUGUUGAUUGUCGACGGUUAAUGGUCAAGCUCCACCCUAACUGAACUUAGAUGUUGGAUUCAUCCCUGAUCAAUGGUACGCCAAACUUUCAAAAAUUUUCAUUGAACAAGGAUAUGUUCAAUCGAAGGUAAAUUAUAGCCUAUUUACUAAAGGUGAUGGUGCCUCUUUUACUGCUGUCUUAGUGUAUGUUGAUGACAUAGUUGUGGCUGGAAAUUGCAUCGACGUGAUUAACCACCUUAAAACUUCACUUCAUGACAAGUUUAGGAUUAAGGAUCUUGGUAGGUUGAAUAACUCCUUGGCAUAGAGGUGGCCAGGUCUGCAAAAGGUAUCAGUAUAUGUCAAAGGAAGUAUGCUUUGGAUAUCUUGGAUGACUCGGGGACAAUUGGUUCAGCUCCUGCCAGAAUACCAUUACAUCAAAAUGUAAAAUUAGCCAAAGAUAAAGGGGAAUUGCUCCCUGAACCAGCAAUUUACAGAAGAUUGGUUGGCAGAUUGUUGUACCUAACAAUAACUAGGCCUGAUAUUUCUUACUCAGUGCAAUUGUUAAGUCAAUUUAUGGAAAGCCCCCGAAUCCCACAUUUGAAUGCAGCACAAAGUCCUAAGAUAUAUCAAACGGGCUCCAGGGUAGGGGAUAUUCUAUCCAGCAGAUUCAGCAUUAUAAUUACACGGAUAUAGUGAUUCAGAUUGGGGAGCUUGUACUAUUACUCGACAAUCAAUAACAGGUUACUGCGUGUUAAUUGGAAAAUCAAUGGUGUCUUGGAAAUUAAAGAAGUAACAAGUGGUCUCAAGAUCAUCUUCGAAACCUAAAUAUAGAGCUAUGGCUGAUUUGUGUUGCGAACUAACAUGGUUCAGAUACUUAUUUUGAAGACUUGAAGAUAGCUCAUCCUCAAGCUGCAUAUUUGUACUGUGACAAUAAAUCAGCCGUUCAUAUAGCCACCAACCCAAUUUUUCAUGAGAGGACCAAACACAUAGAGCUCGAUUGUCAUUUGAUUCGCGACAAAAUUCAAGAUGGAUACAUUGUUACUAAGCAUGUUCCUAGCAAGUCACAGAUUGUAGACAUUUUUUUACCAAAGCCUUAGGCUCGCAAGGUUUUUACUCAUGCAUGCUCAAGAUGGGACUAAUAGACAUAUACUCUCCAUCUUGCAGUGGGCUAUUGGAAGUUGACAAAGCAGCUGAAUUGGAAAGACAUGAAGGAGCUGGUUAAAGAAUCAGCAAUACAAGCAACAAUUGAAAGAUGCUCACACAAUUGACAGCCAACUUGGAAUAACAGAAUGAGAAUUCUCUAGAAGAAGGAAAAGGAAUUUUGUAAAUUAGUUACCUUUCUGUUGUGAGAACGUGUAUGUAAAUUAUUUCUUUUAGAAUAGCCUAUUGUGUGUAUAUAUACUUUGCUUUUCUGUACAGUCUCAACAAGCAGAAAAAUCAAUACAAUUCUUUGCUUUAUUUCUGCCUCCAUCA
rnacentral:lncRNA from 1 species